rnacentral:lncRNA from 1 species
UUGAGCUUGAACCUGAUAAGCCUGGCAGAAGCCUGAUGAACCCAGAAUGAGUGAGAUGUGAGACAGAGUCUUGUUCUGUCGUGCAUGCUGGCGUACAGUGCCACAAUCACAGCUCACCGCAGCUUCCAACUUCUGGACUCACAUGAUCCUUCUGCCUCAGACUUCCAAGUACUUGGGACUACAGUCACGAAUCACCACAGCCAGCUUGGAGUGACUUUCUAAGGGAUUCCAUCCAAGUUACCACAUUAUAUUUGUUAAUCACGUGUUCUUUGGCUUCUCUUGUUUGUGACAGUUUCUCAGACUUCUGUUUU